UUUUGAUAUCUUAUGUUUAACUUCAAACAUAACAAUUUAAUUUGACUUUCCAGCAGACAUUUUUUGUUUGUCACAGACAGACAAAUUUAUGAGAAUUCUUGUAUUAAAUGUUAAAAUCAUAGUUAUAAAAGACGUUUUUUUUAUGAAUUUCUAACCCUAAAUAUUUUGCAAAUAUUCGUUAUUUUGAAACAUUUAAGCUUCAGACGCUCAUACAAAAUUAUUGUGGACUUUCGUACAGACUACAGUUUGUUUUCAAACUACGUCUGACUCUCUGAAGUACCAGUUAAUUUCAUUUUCCUACCAGAAAAGACACCGAAGAAGAAAUUCGGAACAUUUUUACUGCCACAAAACGUGAUUACAGACAAAAAAAAUAAAACACACAUCGUCACAUUCAUCGUUCCGCUCAGGAUAUAAAAAUUUUAAUAAAAAUGCUUAAAACUCCUAGGAAAUUGUAUUAUCGUAUAGCUGCGAAGUAAAGAUGGAGCUUUUGGUUUUUGUCAGUUCUAAAACGUUAUUUUAACUCAGAUAUUGUAAGGAAAAAAUCGUACAGUUGGUAUAGCAGUGUUAUAAUAUUUCACAAUAUAGUUGUCGAGAUAAUUUUUUACCAAAACCAAAACUGUAGAGAGUAAUGCGAUGUGUAUAGCGAUGAAAAACUCGACUGUUAUCGUAGCUAUAAUAACUUAAUACGAUUGGCAAAUUCUAAUAGCGAUUAGGUGUGAAUAUAACAUACUUACAGAGCAG